AGGACCGUAGCUCAGUGGGAGAGCGCCACCUUGACGCGGUGGAGGUCAGGGGUUCGAAACCCCUCGGUCCUA
rnacentral:tRNA from 3 species